AAUAAACCAAUCUUUUACUUUUACCUAUAAUUUUUAACUCUUCGUCUUAUUAAAAAAAUUUUGUGAUUGAUAUUUUUGUUUUUAUUAGAUGAUCAAUCAUAAAUAGUACUUUACAUGUGACUAAUUUUUUUUAAUUUUCUUAAAAUUUUUUAAAUAAGACGGAUGAUCAAACGUUGGACAUGGAAAC
rnacentral:pre_miRNA from 1 species